UUUAUAAGCAUUGACACUUAAGGGAUAUUGCCAUUUGGAUAGCACACACCCUGGCGGUCUAGUAAAAGGAUACAAGAAGAAAAUGAAGCCGUAUUUCAUAAAAAUUUGUUUUGUUAUUCUCUUAUUAUCAAGUUUUGCAUCUACUUUGGUUUCGUCGGCAAUUUGGCAAAGGAUUGAUCCAAAACAUCCGAAGGCCGUUACAUCAAAAUAACUUAUUGCACAAGCACUUGGUAGACGUCCUAUAAAAUGUAUUCUUGCCCUUGAAAGGGUUGACCCAGCCACUAAUACAGAGGAAUUUCGAAUUAGAUUCGAAGCUGUUCGGAUUGUUAACCCAAGUAUAGUGGAAAUAUGCCAAGGUGAUGUAAUAUGGUAUAAUUGGGGCGAAAAGAAAGUUCAUACUCAUGGCUGUUGGCCUAAAUAAACAGGACUGUCUAAAACUACAUCAUCAUAAACAGUAUGCCGUUUUUUUACAAAUCAGUAUCUUCAGCAAACACAUACAAAUUUGAGUUUGACAAGUAGAUGCGCAAAAGUUUAUGCAAAAACUAAAAAAUAAAAUAAAUAAAUAGAUGCUCACA